rnacentral:rRNA from 1 species
AUUGAACGCUAGCGGGAUGCCUUACACAUGCAAGUCGAACGGCAGCAUAAGAGAGCUUGGCUCUCUUGAUGGCGAGUGGCGAACGGGUGAGUAAUGUAUCGGAACGUGCCCAGUAGCGGGGGAUAACUACGCGAAAGCGUAGCUAAUACCGCAUACGCCCUACGGGGGAAAGGAGGGGAUCCGCAAGGACCUUUCACUAUUGGAGCGGCCGAUAUCGGAUUAGCUAGUUGGUGAGGUAACGGCUCACCAAGGCGACGAUCAGUAGGGGUUCUGAGAGGAAGGUCCCCCACAUUGGAACUGAGACACGGUCCAA